rnacentral:rRNA from 1 species
AUGCACGCUGGCGGCGUGCCUCAUCCCUGCCAGUCGAGCGAACGGACGAGAAGCUUGCUUCUCUGAUGUUAGCGGCGGACGGGUGAGUAACACGUGGAUAACCUACCUAUAAGACUGGGAUAACUUCGGGAAACCGGAGCUAAUACCGGAUAAUAUUUUGAACCGCAUGGUUCAAAAGUGAAAGACGGUCUUGCUGUCACUUAUAGAUGGAUCCGCGCUGCAUUAGCUAGUUGGUAAGGUAACGGCUUACCAAGGCAACGAUGCAUAGCCGACCUGAGAGGGUGAUCGGCCACACUGGAACUGAGACACGGUCCAGACUCCUACGGGAGGCAGCAGUAGGGAAUCUUCCGCAAUGGGCGAAAGCCUGACGGAGCAACGCCGCGUGAGUGAUGAAGGUCUUCGGAUCGUAAAACUCUGUUAUUAGGGAAGAACAUAUGUGUAAGUAACUGUGCACAUCUUGACGGUACCUAAUCAGAAAGCCACGGCUAACUACGUG